UGUGCUUGGAGUUAGCAACUAUGGGUGAUCUUAAACUUGUUGAGCGUCCACAAAAUUAUACACUUGCUCCCGAAUCAAGUAAGCAAAUAAAGGCCAAUAUCAAGGUGUCCUCAACUGAAACCGGUGUAAUUUUUGGGAACAUUGUUUAUGAGACAUCAAAUGUGCUUGAGCGGACAGUUGUUGUCCUUAAUGACAUCCACAUCGAUAUUAUGGACUAUAUCUCUCCUGCAGUUUGUACAGAUGCUGCUUUUAGAACAAUGUGGGCAGAGUUUGA
rnacentral:misc_RNA from 1 species